rnacentral:rRNA from 1 species
UACGGAGGGGGCAAGCGUUAUCCGGAUUCACUGGGCUUAAAGGGUGCGUAGGCGGCUAAAUAAGGCAGUGGUGAAAGCUUACAGCUUAACUGUGAAACUGCCAUUGAAACUGUUUAGCUUGAAUCUGGUUGAAGUGGGCGGAAUACAUCAUGUAGCGGUGAAAUGCUUAGAUAUGAUGUAGAACACCGAUUGCGAAGGCAGCUCACUGAGCCAACAUUGACGCUGAGGCACGAAAGCGUGGGGAGCGAACAGG